GCAAAAACUGUAGCGAGAACUGAGGACCUGGCUGAUCUUUUCCCAACUCCUUAUUUCAGCGAGUAACUUCAGAAAAGGAAUUGUGGUCUGACAGCAGUGCAUCCAUAGGAGAAAAGUACACACAAACAUCGUGGCUGUGUAGCAGAAGAACAAAAGAGCUGAGAAUGCUGAUGAUGAAUGAUGAGAACAUGGACAUCAGAUGUGGUGAAAAAUG